rnacentral:tRNA from 2 species
GGCGCGGUAGCUCAGUUGGUAGAGCGCUGCCCUGAAAAGGCAGGCGUCGCCGGUUCGAUUCCGGCCUGCGCCA